rnacentral:rRNA from 1 species
AAAAGGCUUAAGGUGGAUACCUAGGCACCCAGAGACGAUGAAGGGCGUGGUACCGACGAAAUGCUUCGGGAAGUUGGAAACAAACGUUGAUCCGAAGAUUCCCGAAUAGGGCAACCUCUUGAACUACUUAUUGAAUUCAUAGAUAAGUAAGAGGCAACCCGCUGAAUUGAAACAUCUUAGUAAGCGGAGGAAAAAAAAGCAAACGCGAUUCCCUUAGUAGCGGCGAGCGAAACGGGAUCAGCCUAAACCGUCUUUUCGGCGGGGUCGUGGGAAGGAAUCUAGACUUAGUUCAAAUAUUUUGAUUGACAUUAAGUGAAGCAGCUGAAUCCUGCACCAUAGAAGGUGAAAGUCCUGUAACUAAAAAUGAAAAUCAAAAAAAUUCUUAUCCCGAGUAGCAUGGGGCACGUGAAAUCCCGUGUGAAUCUACGAGGACCACCUCGUAAGGCUAAAUAUUCCUGGGUGACCGAUAGUGAAUUAGUACCGUGAGGGAAAGGUGAAACAGAACCCCUGACAGUUUUCUGUCAACGAAGGGGAGUGAAAUAGAACAUGAAACCGUAAGCUGACAAUCAGUGGGAGGACUAAUAGAGUCUGACCGCGUGCCUGUUGAAGAAUGAGCCGGCGACUUAUAGGAAGUGGCUAAGGUUAAGAAACAAAAUUCGAAGCCAAAGCGAAAGCAAGUCUGAAUAGGGCGAAAAGGUCACUUUUUAUGGACCCGAACCCGGGUGAUCUAACCGUGGCCAGGAUGAAGCUUGGGUAAAACCACGUGGAAGUCCGAACCGACCGAUGUUGAAAAAUCGGCGGAUGAGUUGCGGUUAGCGGAGAAAUUCCAAUCGAACCCGGAGCUAGCUGGUUCUCCUCGAAAUGCGUUGAGGCGCAGCGGUUGACGAUGGACGAUCUAGGGGUAAAGCACUGUUUCGGUGCGGGCUGCGAAAGCGGUACCAAAUCGUAGCAAACUAAGAAUACUAGAUUUUGUUUUCCGUCAACCAGUGAGACAGUGGGGGAUAAGCUUCAUUGUCAAAAGGGAAACAGCCCAGAUCACCAGCUAAGGCCCCAAAAUGAUAACUAAGUGAUAAAGGAUGUGAUCAUGCGAAGACAACCAGGAGGUUUGCUUAGAAGCAGCCAACCUUAAAAGAGUGCGUAAUAGCUCACUGGUAGAGCGUGGUUGCGCUAAAAAUGACUGGGACUAAGUUAUCUGCCGAAGCUGUGGGAUUGUAAAAUCGGUAGAGGAGCGUUCCACUCUAGGGUGAAGCAUCAACGUGAGUUGUUGUGGACGAGGUGGAAGUGAGAAUGUUGGCUUGAGUAACGAAAACAUUGGUGAGAAUCCAAUGCCCCGAAAACCUAAGGGUUCCUCCACAAGGCUCGUCCAUGGAGGGUGAGUCAGGACCUAAGGCGAGGCCGAAAGGCGUAGUCGAUGGCGAACAGGUUAAUAUUCCUGUACUUGUUUUUGUCUUGUACCGAAGGACGAAGGAGGCGUAUGUUGGCUGAUUUAUGGAACUCAGCGGAAACGUUCAAGGUUAUUGAAGAUUGAAGAAAAACAAUUUUUAAACUAAGGCGUGAUACGAUUUUUUAUUCAACACAUCGUCAUACUUCCAAGAAAAGUUCGCACUACUUAAAAGCAAAAAUAACCUGUACCCGAAACUGACACAAGUAGGUAGGUAGAGUAUACCAAGGGGCGCGAGGUAACUCUCUCUAAGGAACUCGGCAAAAUGGCCCCGUAACUUCGGGAGAAGGGGUACCCUUAUUUUAAGGGUCGCAGUGACCAGGCCCAGGCGACUGUUUACCAAAAACACAGGUCUCCGCAAAGUCGCAAGACAAUAUAUGGGGGCUGACGCCUGCCCAGUGCCGGAAGGUGAAGGAAGUUGGUGAUAAGCUGAUGACCGAAGCCCCGGUGAACGGCGGCUGUAACUCUGACAGUUAAGGUAGCGAAACGCCUUGCCAAGUAAGUUUUGGCCCGCAUGAAUGGCGUCACGAUCUGGGCACUGUCUCGGAGAGAGGCUCGGUGAAAUAGACAUGUCUGUGAAGAUGCGGACUACUAGCACCUGGACAGAAAGACCCUAUGAAGCUUGACUGUAACUUGGAAUUGGAUUUGGGCUCUUCUUGCGCAGCCUAGGUGGGAGGCGAUGAAGGUCCCCUUUUGGGGGGGCUCGAGCCAUCAGUGAGAGACCACUCUGGGAAAGCUAGAAUCCUAAUAGCGCUCCUUGAAUCAGGACGCUUGACAGUUUCAGGUGGACAGUUUUACUGGGGCGGUAACUUGCCUAAAAGGUAACGGAGGUGUGCAAAGGUUCCCUCAGGCUGGACGGAAAUCAGCUGUAGAGUGUAAAGGCAGAAGGGAGCUUGACUGCAAGACCUACAAGUCGAGCAGGGGCGAAAGCCGGCCUUAGUGAUCCGACGGUUCCGAGUGGAAGGGCCGUCGCUCAACGGAUAAAAGUUACUCUAGGGAUAACAGGCUGAUCUUCCCCAAGAGUUCACAUCGACGGGAAGGUUUGGCACCUCGAUGUCGAUUUAUCGCAACCUGGGGCGGUAGUACGUCCCAAGGGUUGGGCUGUUCGCCCAUGAAAGCGGUACGUGAGUUGGGUUCUAAUGCGUGAGACAGUUCGGUCCAUAUCCGGUGUUAGCGUAAGAGCAUUGAGAGGAGCUCGACAUUGUACGAGAGGACCCGAAGGGACGUACCUAUGGUGUACCAGUUCUUGUGCCAACGGGAAACGCUGGGUAGCUAUGUACGGAGCGGAUAAGUGCUGAAAGCAUCUGAAGUACGAAGCCCACCUCAAGAUGAGUGCUCUCUAUUAGGUCACGGCAAGACUAGCCGGUUAUAGGUAUCAGCUGAAAGGCCAGUAAUGGUUGAAGGUGAGAUAUACUAACAGACCAAUUGAUUUUGAC